ACAUCGACUGAGACAACGGUCAAUGGGUGAUCAAGAAAGUCUAUGGCUAGGUUGAUGACUUCCAUUGUAAUUCGAAGGGGGUACUUGCCUAAAGUCGGCCUAAAUGGUUGACUUAUAUCAUAACUUGUGGCAGAGGGGCUUGCUUUCACACGAUCUCCAC
rnacentral:snRNA from 1 species